GGUGAUGUACAACCUCACCAGAGUACCAAUUGGAGGGCAAGUCUGGUGCCAGCAGCCGCGGUAAUUCCAGCUCCAAUAGCGUAUAUUAAACUUGUUGCAGUUAAAAAGCUCGUAGUUGUAUUUCAGCCUCGCGUUUUUUCCCUCSUUUUGGGUCUUUUCGCUGGCUUUUUUUUUACUUUGAGAAAAUUAGAGUGUUUCAAGCAGACUUUUGUCUUGAAUACUUCAGCAUGGAAUAAUAGAGUAGGACCUUGGUUCUAUUUUGU
rnacentral:rRNA from 1 species